GGUGGGUACCCCUGUUGAGGCGGGUAACCUUGGGGAGGAUACCCUUGAGGAGGAUAGCCACCCUGCUGGGGCGGGUACCCUUGCGGAGGAUAGCCGCCCUGCUGCGGCGGGUACCCGUGCUGAGGCGGGUACGAACCUCCUCCGUGUGCAAGGUGGCUAAAAAGCCCCUUGUCUGCUUCGUCGUCGUGAUGCUUGUCUUUCCCACCACCCAUUUUUUAUGUUCAGUUGAAACCCAAAAGAUCAGAGAGGAUAUGAAGAUGAAGAAAUAAAAG
rnacentral:lncRNA from 1 species